GGCCUAAUACAUGCAAGUCGAACGGAUAUAGGGACUUCGGUUUCUAUAUUAGUGGCGCACGGGUGCGUAACGCGUAUGCAACCUACCUUUUAUUGGGGGAUAGCCCGGAGAAAUCCGGAUUAAUACCGCAUAACAUCACGAGAGGGCAUCUGAUUGUGAUGAAAGCUGAGGCGAUAAAAGAUGGGCAUGCGUGCCAUUAGCUAGUUGGUUGGGGUAACGGCCCACCAAGGCGACGAUGGCUAGGGGUUCUGAGAGGAUGAUCCCCCACACUGGUACUGAGAUACGGACCAGACUCCUACGGGAGGCAGCAGUAGGGAAUAUUGGGCAAUGGUCGGAAGACUGACCCAGCCAUGCCGCGUGCAGGAAGAAGGCCUUCUGGGUUGUAAACUGCUUUUAUCUGGGAAGAAAAAACUCUUGCGAGAGGAACUGACGGUACCAGAGGAAUAAGCACCGGCUAACUCCGUGCCAGCAGCCGCGGUAAUACGGAGGGUGCAAGCGUUGUCCGGAUUUAUUGGGUUUAAAGGGUGCGUAGGCGGCUUGAUAAGUCCGUGGUGAAAGCCAACAGCUCAACUGUUGAACUGCCAUGGAUACUGUCGGGCUUGAGUACAGACGAGGUAGGCGGAAUUGAUGGUGUAGCGGUGAAAUGCAUAGAUACCAUCAAGAACACCGAUUGCGAAGGCAGCUUACUAGGCUGUAACUGACGCUGAGGCACGAAAGCGUGGGGAGCGAACAGGAUUAGAUACCCUGGUAGUCCACGCUGUAAACGAUGAUGACUCGAUGUGGGCGAUACACAGUCCGCGUCUUAGCGAAAGCGUUAAGUCAUCCACCUGGGGAGUACGCCCGCAAGGGUGAAACUCAAAUGAAUUGACGG
rnacentral:rRNA from 1 species